rnacentral:rRNA from 1 species
GAUGAACGCUGGCGGCGUGCCUAAUACAUGCAAGUCGAGCGAACAGACGAGGAGCUUGCUCCGUGCACGUUAGCCGCGGACGUGUGUGUAACACGUGGAUAAUCUACUUAUAUUUCUGGGAAAUUUUCGGGAAACCGGAUCUAAUCGCGUAUAAUAUAUUGAACCGCAUGGUUCAAUGGUGAAUUACGGUGUUGCUGGCUCGUAUAGAGGGAUCCGCGCCGCAUUAGCUAGUUGGUAAGGUAACGGCUUACCAAGGCAACGAUGCGUAGCCGAACGGAGAGGGUGGUCGGCCGCCCUGGAAGGUGACCGCGCACCAGACUCCUACGGGAGGGAGCAGUAGGGAAUCUUACGCAAUGGUCGGGAGCUUGACGGAGCGGCGCGACGUGAGUGAUGGAGGUCUUGGGAUCGUAAAACUGUGUUAUUAGGGGAGAACAAAUGUGUAAGUAGCUAUGGACGUCUUGACGGUACCUAAUCAGAAAGCCCCGGCUAACUACGUG